GCAUAGUUGGUAGGGCGUCAGCCUGAUAUGCGGGUUGCCCGAGUUCGAGCCCCAA
rnacentral:tRNA from 13 species